rnacentral:rRNA from 1 species
UACUCGCAGAAUAAGCACCGGCUAACUCUGUGCCAGCAGCCGCGGUAAUACAGAGGGUGCGAGCGUUAAUCGGAUUUACUGGGCGUAAAGCGUGCGUAGGCGGCUUUUUAAGUCGGAUGUGAAAUCCCUGAGCUUAACUUAGGAAUUGCAUUCGAUACUGGGAAGCUAGAGUAUGGGAGAGGAUGGUAGAAUUCCAGGUGUAGCGGUGAAAUGCGUAGAGAUCUGGAGGAAUACCGAUGGCGAAGGCAGCCAUCUGGCCUAAUACUGACGCUGAGGUACGAAAGCAUGGGGAGCAAACAGGAUUAGAUACCCUGGUAGUCCAUGCCGUAAACGAUGUCUACUAGCCGUUGGGGCCUUUGAGGCUUUAGUGGCGCAGCUAACGCGAUAAGUAGACCGCCUGGGGAGUACGGUCGCAAGACUAAAACUCAAAUGAAUUGACGGGGGCCCGCACAAGCGGUGGAGCAUGUGGUUUAAUUCGAUGCAACGCGAAGAACCUUACCUGGUCUUGACAUAGUAAGAACUUUCCAGAGAUGGAUUGGUGCCUUCGGGAACUUACAUACAGGUGCUGCAUGGCUGUCGUCAGCUCGUGUCGUGAGAUGUUGGGUUAAGUCCCGCAACGAGCGCAACCCUUUUCCUUAUUUGCCAGCGGGUUAAGCCGGGAACUUUAAGGAUACUGCCAGUGACAAACUGGAGGAAGGCGGGGACGACGUCAAGUCAUCAUGGCCC